AACUGAUUGGACCCUCAGGGAGUCGGGACGCAGUGUGUGCCGGAGGGAAGCUGUAAGGAAUGAACAGAUACAGAGAGCCACCAGGAGGCCCCGAGGGAGGGAUCAUAUCAUGGAGGGAUAGUCAGAGGUCAGCCCUGAUGUGGCGUUGGCUCAGCUCCAGCAGGUCCUGCUUCAGAGAGUGGCUGGGUUGUACCAACUUCUCUGAGCUUCAGGAUGCUGGGCAGGUGUGUAUGUGAGGCUUUGAACCUCCGCAGCCAUGAGGGUGCCCGUGCACACUGACCAACAGAGCUAGCACAGCUGGAGCCCUGAUCAGCCUGUGCCUGAAGUCCACACAACCACAGGACUUUGAAUGAACUCCGCCCAACCCUGACCAAGACCUCAUGUUGAGACUCCUGCCCCUUCCCUCACUUCCGUCGCCUGACUCAGUUGCCGACUGUGACCCACAACCUGAUAGCAAGGUCAGGGCAGAUUCUAAAGAUAAAGCCCGCCCUGUCUAGACAAACAACUCUGGGAGAGAAAAACUUCAGGUUUGCAAGAAACCCGAAUUAAGUUGAACUUAACCACCCCUCCUCCACCUCCUAUGUAAACCCCAAGUAUCCCUGCCCACAUCCCGCAGAUGCCCCUUUUUUGCCAUGUCUGCCCUCACUGUUUUAAGUAAACAGUCCAGUCUGUGGAGGCUGGCCUCCGGUCUGUUUUCUGCCUCUUGACUCUUCAAACUGACUUAGAAAUCCAACACCCUGCACUCUCAGGAGUCAAGUGGGCCAUUUAUUAUCAAUCGUCUCUG